AGCAGAGAUGCUUGGUGCCUUCGGGAACUCUGAGACAGGUGCUGCAUGGCUGUCGUCAGCUCGUGUUGUGAAAUGUUGGGUUAAGUCCCGCAACGAGCGCAACCCUUAUCCUUUGUUGCCAGCGGCUCGGCCGGGAACUCAAAGGAGACUGCCGGUGAUAAACCGGAGGAAGGUGGGGAUGACGUCAAGUCAUCAUGGCCCUUACGGCCAGGGCUACACACGUGCUACAAUGGCGCAUACAAAGAGAAGCGACCUCGCGAGAGCAAGCGGACCUCAUAAAGUGCGUCGUAGUCCGGAUUGGAGUCUGCAACUCGACUCCAUGAAGUCGGAAUCGCUAGUAAUCGUAGAUCAGAAUGCUACGGUGAAUACGUUCCCGGGCCUUGUACACACCGCCCGUCACACCAUGGGAGUGGGUUGCAAAAGAAGUAGGUAGCUUAACCUUCGGGAGGGCGCUUACCACUUUGUGAUUCAUGACUGGGGUGAAGUCGUAACAAGGUAAGCGUAGUGCU
rnacentral:rRNA from 1 species